CCUACGGGGGGCAGCAGUGGGGAAUAUUGGACAAUGGGCGAAAGCCUGAUCCAGCCAUGCCGCGUGUGUGAAGAAGGCCUUCGGGUUGUAAAGCACUUUCAGUGGGGAAGAAAGCCUUGGGGCUAAUACCCUCGAGGAAGGACAUCACCCACAGAAGAAGCACCGGCUAACUCCGUGCCAGCAGCCGCGGUAAUACGGAGGGUGCGAGCGUUAAUCGGAAUUACUGGGCGUAAAGCGCGCGUAGGCGGUCUGAUAAGCCGGUUGUGAAAGCCCCGGGCUCAACCUGGGAACGGCAUCCGGAACUGUCAGGCUAGAGUGCAGGAGAGGAAGGUAGAAUUCCCGGUGUAGCGGUGAAAUGCGUAGAGAUCGGGAGGAAUACCAGUGGCGAAGGCGGCCUUCUGGAUUGACACUGACGCUGAGGUGCGAAAGCGUGGGUAGCAAACAGGAUUAGAUACCCGGGUAGUC
rnacentral:rRNA from 1 species